GAAGACAGCUCCAUAAAAAAGCCAAGCACCAGACAUUUAAAAAGAAGCUCCAUCCCCACAGGGAGGCCUGCAAUGUGGCUACAAUUAUGCAGCUGGCCGGGACUUGACUUCAGACUGACUGCAGCAGGCAAAUGUAGGAGCAACACUCAGGAGUUGGGCUUGGCCUCUUAGUUCCAGUGAAAGGAACUUUGAUUGCUCCAGGAUACCAAAACUUUUUGGACAAUUCCAUGGGAUGGCACUUCAAGUUCAUAAGUCUGUGCAAUGAUGUCACCCGUUUCAGCGCAAUGAGGUGAAGUGAAGAAGCCAAGAAGUCAUGGACACCGUGG